GUCAAGAAAGUCAUUAGUCAAAAUAAUCUCUCGUGUGCUAGUUAUCUCAAUAAUGAUUUUGUAUGUGACGCAUGCCAAAAAGGCAAAAGUCACCAACUUCCUUAUCCAAAUUCAAUAAGUGAAUCAAAAUUCCCUUUAGAACUUGUGUUCUCUGAUGUGUGUGGUCCUGCUGUUGAAACAGUAGGAAGAAAGCAAUAUUAUGUUAGCUUUAUCGAUGAUUUCAGCAAGUUUACAUGGAUCUAUUUGAUCAAACAUAAGUUUGAAGUUUUUCAGAAAUUUCAUGACUUUCAGAAUCUUGUGGAACGACAAUUUGAUCGUAAAAUCCUUGCUCUCCAAACAGAUUAG
rnacentral:rRNA from 1 species